rnacentral:misc_RNA from 1 species
GGGCAAAACAAAAGGAGGCUAAAUAUGUUCUAGCAAAACAAAACAAAAGAAU